rnacentral:tRNA from 1 species
UCGACGUCUGGUACUGGACGAUUCCGUUCUCCAACGGCUGCUGCUCGCUGGGCGUGGUUGCCGAGCCGUCGUUCUUCGAGCGCUACGAAGGCGACGACC